UGAUCUCUGGCUUCAACAGUGCUUGGACAGAACCU
rfam:Cricetulus griseus cell line CHO-K1, whole genome shotgun sequence.